AGUGAACGCUGGCGGCGUGCCUAACACAUGCAAGUCGAACGAGAACGGGAUAUAGCUUGCUAUAUUUGUCAGCUAAGUGGCGCACGGGUGAGUAAUGUAUAGAUAACCUGCCCUCUAGAAAGGAAUAACAGUUGGAAACGACUGCUAAUGCCCUAUAUGCCUUUAAUACAUAAGUAUGCAAGGGAAACGCUUUAGUGCUAGAGGAUGGGUCUGUAUGGUAUCAGCUUGUUGGUGAGGUAAUGGCUCACCAAGGCUAUGACGCCUAACUGGUUUGAAAGGAUGAUCAGUCACACUGGAACUGAGACACGGUCCAGACUCCUACGGGAGGCAGCAGUGGGGAAUAUUGCACAAUGGACGAAAGUCUGAUGCAGCAACGCCGCGUGGAGGAUGACACAUUUCGGUGCGUAAACUCCUUUUAUAUAGGAAGAUAAUGACGGUACUAUAUGAAUAAGCACCGGCUAACUCCGUGCCAGCAGCCGCAGUAACAC
rnacentral:rRNA from 1 species